AUGAUGUCUUCUCUCUCUUUGAAUAAGAGCAAAGAAAAUACCUUCCAAGUAAGGACUCCUAGAUUUUGGAGUUUGCAUCCAUCCUGCAUUCAUCACAUUUAUUUUACAUCUGACCCCAACUGUUUGCCUAAAUUAGAUUGAAAAUUAAGGAGCAAAGGAUGCCCGCAGCAAAGGAAUUGCACAUUUUUGGAAGUUUGAGCAAAACAGCAGAUGAAACAUCAGCUGGGCAUCGUGAGCUCGGACUCAUUAAAGCAGGCUGGGAGUCACUAAGAGAAAUAGGCCUAACCUGUGCAACAACAGUGAGGACUUAAUUUGUGAGGUAUCCUGGCAUGAACAGAGUUUUCUGCCCCCAGUCUUUGGAAAGUUUCACAGGCUGGGCACCUCUCCUCCACAGCCAACAAUGAUGUUUUGUGUCUUCAUCCCGGCUACAGGCCCUGGCACACAAACAGCCCAGCCUAUUCAUUCCUAGAGCAAUUUUACAUAUGCGAGACCGAAGCCAAGAUGAAUGUCUUCUUCCCCGAUGUGCUCAAUUCAACCACAUUCUGGAAAUAGAGAAAAUGGAAGAGCAAUGAUCAUCAGAAGGCAAGACGGUGAUUGUUAAAAGCCAUCUCUAUUUUUAUCUCCAGCACCUUGCUGAAAAAUCGUUCUGGAGGCCAGGCGUCCCGGAUCACAGCACCAGAGCAUUCAGCGUCUGCGGAAGGCCCGCUCCCUGCUUCGAGGACAGCCGUCUUCUUGCUGUGUCCUCACACGGAUGAAGCUGCUGAGGUUUACCAGGCAUCCAAGACCUUGCUCUCGACGCAUAACCUCUGAGCCCCAUGCAGCCCGCAGCAAGAGACCCAAGGCUGUUCUCAAAACAGUGCACCUGCUUAAGCCAUCUGUGAGUCCAAACAGAUCCAAUUUCCCUUGCACUUCAUUUAUACUAACAACAAUCACAUGGGUGAAGCUGAAUUCUUCAAUCAAGGCAUCGAUGGGGACAUAGCUGGAUCAACCCCAAGUAAUCUACACAGAUAGUGUGCGAAAAAACAUUUAUAUGCAGAAAUCCACUGAAAUCUUCUACUGCUUCGCUCAUUUCAGAAAUGAGGAAACUAAAGCACCUGAUCACAUAAGGUGACCUGCCUCUUAUAAGGUCACUGGAAGACUUACAGACUCAAUGAAAAAUAUUUUACAACAUCCACAUAUAAUUGCUACUCAACCCAGUUUUCAUCUGUUAAAUAUGUCCAUUUGAGAAGGACAUAGCAUUAGCUACAUCCUAAAUAGAUAUUUUUUAAGAUCCCGUGCUUAAAAAAAAAAAAAAAAAAAAAGGUGGUGGUGCCUGCAGUUGAAAGUACCGUGAUAAUAUGCCACUGGGUAAGUAUUGUUCAAGAGUAAACCAACCUUCCUGACCAUUCAUUUAUUAAGUCAGAUACUUAAGUUCUAAUUUGGACUUAAGUUCUAUCCUUUGUACUCAAUAUCCUGGAUAUAUCUCUAUGACUGUCUUUAUCCUGAGGGUUAGAAUAAAGCUUUGGUAAUGUCCUGAAUCUUGA